UGGGGAAUAUUGCACAAUGGAGGAAACUCUGAUGCAGCGACGCCGCGUGAGUGAGGAAGUAUUUCGGUAUGUAAAGCUCUAUCAGCAGGGAAGAUAAUGACGGUACCUGAGUAAGAAGCACCGGCUAAAUACGUGCCAGCAGCCGCGGUAAUACGUAUGGUGCAAGCGUUAUCCGGAUUUACUGGGUGUAAAGGGAGUGCAGGCGGUCUUGCAAGUCAGAUGUGAAAAACCCAAGGCUCAACCAUGGGACUGCAUUUGAAACUGUGAGACUAGAGUAUCGGAGAGGUAAGUGGAAUUCCUAGUGUAGCGGUGAAAUGCGUAGAUAUUAGGAAGAACACCAGUGGCGAAGGCGGCUUACUGGACGAUUACUGACGCUGAGGCUCGAAAGCGUGGGGAGCAAACAGGAUUAGAUACCCUGGUAGU
rnacentral:rRNA from 1 species